GUAUCUAAUACAAAAUUUCAAAUUCAAGUUUUGAACGAUCUCAAUAAUUAUAUGAAUGCAAAUUUCAUCCACAAUAAAAUAAUAUCAACAUUCAAACGAUUUGACUAUUGCACAAGGCACAUUUAUUAUGGUUUGAACUUUUCAAAUAUAAUAUUAUAAUAUUUCGUAAUAAAUUUUAGACACAAUAAACCACGGCUCUGAUACCACUGAAAGGAUUGCGUAUGGGUGUUCGUAACAUGCAGCGGAAGACAAUAACAAUCCUAGGUAGAUUUUUCAUGUUUAAUAUUUAUUUACGUGUCAAAGAUAGGAUCUAAGACGUACCUGGUGAAGAGAGUCUCGUUUCAAAAUUCUUCGAUAGUGCGAAGACUCUAUGCGUAUCCACACCGAUACCGAUCCUUGCUAUCAACUCUUUGAUCAAUGAAA
rnacentral:lncRNA from 1 species